CAUUGUAAGAAGGGUUGCUUAUAUGAGAGCAUACAGUACAUCUGAAACUGCUGAGGCUGGGAAGGUUUUUGACUAUAUUACCGACCAGAUCAGCUGCUAUAAAAGACAAACUGAAAUCUGAGUGCAGAGACAAGCAAAGGAAUACUGCAAGGCUCUGGUGCAAAAUAUUGUAUGCCAGGAGUCAGGACGACUAGGCUGUGCCCAGGUCUCCGGAACCUGCGACGACGCUCAGCUCCAUCAGCC